GACGAACGCUGGCGGCGUGCUUAACACAUGCAAGUCGAACGGUGAAGCGCCUUCCUUUUUGGUGGGUGUGGAUGAGUGGCGAACGGGUGAGUAACACGUGAGUAACCUGCCCCCUUCUUCUGGAUAACCGCAUGAAAGUGUGGCUAAUACGGGAUAUUCUGGGUCUGUCGCAUGAUGGGUCUGGGAAAGAUAUUGUUUCGGUGGGGGAUGGGCUCGCGGCCUAUCAGCUUGUUGGUGGGGUGAUGGCCUACCAAGGCGGUGACGGGUAGCCGGCCUGGGAGGGUGGACGGUCACACUGGGACUGAGACACGGCCCAGACUCCUACGGGGGGCAGCAGUGGGGAAUAUUGCACAAUGGGCGCAAGCCUGAUGCAGCGACGCCGCGUGAGGGAUGGAGGCCUUCGGGUUGUGAACCUCUUUCGCCAGUGAAGCAGGCCUGCCUCGUUUGUGGGUGGGUUGACGGUAGCUGGAUAAGAAGCGCCGGCUAACUACGUG
rnacentral:rRNA from 1 species